AUGGAGGAGCGGAGAGGAGGCGGCGGCGGGGGCCGGGGCUCCGGCAAGGGGCCGGCGGCGGGGAAGAUGAUGUCGCUCAACGAGUUCGUCUCCUCCAUGGCGCCCCUCAUCGACCUGGAGAAGGCGGCGGAGAUAUCGGCGGAGUCGGAGGCGAGCUCCAAGAGGAAGGAGAGGCGGGGGUCCGUCAUGCCCAACCUCAAGUGCACCGACGCCCAGACGGGGCUGAUGGGGAAGACGCUCCUGGAGUUCCAGCCCAACAAGGGCGACGUGCUUCCACCUCACAAGUUUGGGACGCACGACGUGGUUGCCCUCAAGCCAAACAAAGCAGAUGCUGGAUCCCCUGCACUUGGGCAAGGUGUAGUUUAUCGCUUGAAGGAUUCUUCCAUUACCGUCGUUUUUGAUGAUAUUCCUGAAGAUGGAUUAAAUAGCCCUCUCCGUCUUGAGAAGCUUGCGAAUGAGGUUACUUACCGCAGGAUGAAGGAUGCAUUAAUUCAACUUAGCAAGGGCAUCCAAGCAGGACCUUCCGCAAACCUUGUUCCUGUGUUAUUUGGAGAGAACUCACCUAUGCGUUCCAAGGAUGCCGUGAAGUUCAGUCCAUUUAAUAAGAAUUUGGACGACUCGCAGAAAGAUGCUAUCUCGAAGGCCCUCAGAUCAAGGGAUGCUUUUUUGCUUCAUGGACCUCCUGGAACUGGGAAGACAACAACCAUCAUUGAGAUAAUAUUGCAGGAGGUCAAGCGUGGAGCGAAAAUUCUUGCUUGUGCUGCUUCCAACAUUGCUGUCGAUAACAUUGUUGAGCGACUCUCACAGUACAGAACAAAAUUGGUGAGGUUAGGGCAUCCUGCCCGUUUACUACCGCAAGUGUUGGACAGUGCUCUUGAUGCACAGGUACUGCGAGCAGAUAAUAGCAGCUUGGCCGGAGACAUUCGCAAGGAAAUGAAGGUGCUUAAUAGCAAAUUGCUGAAAGCUAAAGAUAGAAACACGAAAAGGGACAUCAGGAAAGAGCUUAAAACCCUUGCCAAAGAGGAGCGAAAACGGCAGCAGCUUGCAGUCGCUGAUGUCAUAAAAAAUGCAGAUGUUGUGCUGUCAACUUUGACAGGUGCAUCUUCCAAAAAGAUAGCUGGCAUUACAUUUGAUCUGGUAAUUAUUGAUGAGGCUGCUCAGGCACUCGAGGUGGCCUGUUGGAUAGCCUUACUGAAGGGUCAAAGGUGCGUGCUUGCUGGAGACCAUCUUCAACUUCCUCCAACGAUCCAAAGUGUUGAGGCUGAGAAGAAGGGUAUGGGAAAGACACUCUUUGAACGCCUUACUGAAGGUUAUGGAGAGGAAAUCACAUGCAUGCUCACUAUCCAGUACAGGAUGCACGAGCUAAUUAUGAACUGGUCAUCAAAAGAACUUUACAAUAAUAAGAUCAAAGCGCAUUCUAGUGUUGCUGGGCAUAUGCUCUAUGAUCUUGAAGGAGUGAAUAAAUCUUCUUCAACAGAACCAACUAUUAUACUUGUUGACACUACAGGGUGUGAUAUGGAAGAAGUGAAAGAUGAAGAGGAGAGCACCAUGAAUGAGGGCGAGGCUGCAGUAUCCAUUGCCCAUGCCAAGUUACUUGUUGAGAGUGGUGUCCGUGCAAUUGAUAUUGGCAUUAUUACUCCAUAUUCUGCACAGGUAACCUGCCUGAAAAUGCUGAGAAAUAAAGAUGCUAAAUUGAAGGACUUGGAAAUAUCAACGGUUGAUGGAUUUCAGGGUAGGGAGAAAGAGGCCAUAAUCAUUACAAUGGUCAGAUCCAACCCAAAGAAAGAGGUCGGGUUCUUGAGCGACCAUAGGCGGAUGAACGUCGCCGUGACACGAGCCAGGCGGCAGUGCUGCAUAGUGUGCGAUGCCGAGACCGUAAGCAGCGACAGAUUCCUGAAACGCUUGGUGGAGUACUUUGAGGAGAACGGCGAGUACCUGAGUGCGUCUGAGUACCAGAGCAGCUGA
rnacentral:rRNA from 1 species